CAGAGGGGGCAAGCGCUGUUCGGAAUUACUGGGCGUAAAGGGCGCGUAGGCGGCCUGCUAAGUCGAACGUGAAAUCCCUGGGCUCAACCCAGGAACUGCGUCCGAUACUGGUUGGCUUGAAUCCGGGAGAGGGAUGCGGAAUUCCAGGUGUAGCGGUGAAAUGCGUAGAUAUCUGGAGGAACACCGGUGGCGAAGGCGGCAUCCUGGACCGGCAUUGACGCUGAGGCGCGAAAGCCAGGGGAGCAAACGGGAUUAGAUACCCCGGUAGUCCUGGCCCUAAACGAUGAAUGCUUGGUGUGGUGGGUAUCGAUCCCUACCGUGCCGAAGCUAACGCAUUAAGCAUUCCGCCUGGGGAGUACGGUCGCAAGGCUG
rnacentral:rRNA from 1 species